CACGUAGGGCGCAAGCGUUGUCCGGAAUUAUUGGGCGUAAAGAGCUCGUAGGCGGUUUGUCGCGUCGACUGUGAAAACCUACAGCUUAACUGUGGGCUUGCAGUCGAUACGGGCAGACUUGAGUUCGGUAGGGGAGACUGGAAUUCCUGGUGUAGCGGUGAAAUGCGCAGAUAUCAGGAGGAACACCGGUGGCGAAGGCGGGUCUCUGGGCCGAUACUGACGCUGAGGAGCGAAAGCGUGGGGAGCGAACAGG
rnacentral:rRNA from 1 species